rnacentral:piRNA from 1 species
UGGCAGGAAGCCCCUUACAGCUGGCAGU